GCCCGAGUGGGGUAGCUUGGACAUCCUAGAAGCCUGCGGAGCUUCGGACCUGGGUUCGAAUCCCAGCUCGGGCG
rnacentral:tRNA from 1 species